rnacentral:rRNA from 1 species
GACGAACGCUGGCGGCGUGCUUAACACAUGCAAGUCGAACGAAGUGGCGAACGGGUGAGUAACGCGUAAUCAACCUGCCCUUCAGAGGGGGACAACAGUUGGAAACGACUGCUAAUACCGCAUACUGAAGGAGGGGAUUGCGUCUGAUUAGCUAGUGGGAGGGGUAACGGCCCACCAAGGCGAUGAUCAGUAGCCGGGUUGAGAGGAUGAACUGCCAAAUUGGGACUGAGACACGGCUCAACCGCCUAAGGGAGGACGCAGGGGGGAAUCGUACGCAAUGGGGGAAGUUCUGACGAAGCAACGCCGCGUGAGUGAUGACGCCCUUCGGGUUGUAAAGCUCUGUUAAUCGGGACGCGGUACCGGAAUAGAAAGCCACGGCUAACUACGUGCCAGAAGCCGCGGUAAUAC